rnacentral:rRNA from 1 species
GACGAACGCUGGCGGCGUGCUUAACACAUGCAAGUCGAACGGUCAACGAGGGAGCUUGCUCCUCCCGGAUCAGUGGCGAACGGGUGAGUAACACGUGAGCAAUCUGCCCCUAACACUGGGAUAAGCGUUGGAAACGACGUCUAAUACCGGAUACGACGCGGGACGGCAUCCUCUCCGCGUGGAAAGAACUCCGGCUCGGGAUGAUCUCUCGGGCUAUCCUCUUGUUGGUGAGGUAACGGCUCACCAAGGCCACGACGGAUAGCCGGCCCGAGAGGGUAACCGGCCACCCGGGGACUGAGACACGGCCCAGAAGCCAACGGGAGGCAGAAGUGGGGAAUAUGGCACAGUGGGCGCAAGCCUGAGGCAGCAACGCCGCGUGAGGGACGACGGCCUUCGGGGUGUAAACCUCUUUUAGCAGGGAAGAAGCGAAAGUGACGGUACCUGCAGAAAAAGCACCGGCUAACUACGUG